UACAGAGGGUGCAAGCGUUAAUCGGAAUUACUGGGUGUAAAGCGUGCGUAGACGGUUAUUUAAGUCAGGUGUGAAAGCCCACGGCUCAACCGUGGAGGGUCAUUGGAAACUGGGAGACUUGAGUGCAGAAGAGGAAAGUGGAAUUCCAUGUGUAGCGGUGAAAUGCGUAGAGAUAUGGAGGAACACCAGUGGCGAAGGCGACUUUCUGGUCUGUAACUGACACUGAGGCGCGAAAGCGUGGGGAGCAAACAGG
rnacentral:rRNA from 1 species